rnacentral:rRNA from 1 species
UACGGGGGGAGCAAGCGUUGUUCGGAUUUACUGGGCGUAAAGGGCGCGUAGGCGGUCGGGUAAGUCUGAUGUGAAAUCUCACAGCUUAACUGUGAAACUGCAUUGGAUACUAUCCGGCUCGAGGAAUGGAGGGGAGACUGGAAUACUUGGUGUAGCAGUGAAAUGCGUAGAUAUCAAGUGGAACACCAGUGGCGAAGGCGAGUCUCUGGACAUUUCCUGACGCUGAGGCACGAAAGCCAGGGGAGCAAACGGG